UUUAUACUCUCUCCGUCCGGAAAUACUUGUCCUAGAAAUUGAUAUAAUGGAUGUAUCUAUAACUAAAAUAAGUCUAGUACAUUCAUCUUUAGGACAAGUAUUUUCGGACGGAUGGAGUAUUAG
rnacentral:pre_miRNA from 1 species